UGAUAGGGUUUAAUGUGUUAAUAAUCACCUAACCUAGACCUUGAAUCUACACCCCUUAACCUUAUAAAUAAUUGACCCAUCACCCAUAACCUUUAUAAAGAUGCAAUGUGAUUUAUUCCCAUUGCUCGACAUGUCAAAGUGAAGAAAUUCAACCAAGAACGGAUAAACGACGAGAGUAACUAUGAAUAUAUUAAGAUAUCCAGAUGCCUCAUCAUCUAAUUAGUGAUGUGCAUGAAUGGAUAAUUAAUUAUAUUCCCCAUUCUCCCUAGCUACUAUAUUCUAGAGAAACCAUAUUCAAGGGAAUGGGCUUGGCAGAAUUAGCGGGGAAAGAAGACCCUCAUGUUGAUCUUGACUCUAGUCCUAACCCAUUCAUAGUUUGGGA
rnacentral:ncRNA from 1 species